UUACCUCUGGACUUUGACUGGACCGUUCUGACCCAUGAACAUGCUUUCAUCUAAAGCACUCCUUUGCAGUUGGAAGGAGAACCUGGCAGACUUCAUUAUCCCUGCUGAAGAAAAGCGUCUCUACAGCAUGAUGCUGCCACCGCCAAAUGUUUCACCACAGAGUGUUCUGGAUGAACCCCGAUGCCAUCCUGCGCCAAGGCAGCACAGAUGCAAACUCCCCCCUGACCGGGCGACUGCCAAGGCGUCGCUUCCGAAGCCUUUCCACCAGCUGGAGACUCUGAUGAGGCCAACACAUCCAUUUCCCUGGUAACCGAAGGGCCCAGAGACACAGAGGGAGGCUCUUGCAUACAAACACGCUCAGAAUGAAGGAACAGAGCGCCAUAGAAGGACAAAAAAUGGUAUGAGGAAGAGGAAGCAGAGGAGGAAUGUGGCAGCUGGAAUGGGAUCAGUAGCUAAGCUUUAACCUUCAGGCCCUUUGACUUGGAAGAGGAGAGAGUGCUUAGCCUCCUUUUACACACAAAGGGGCCAAAUGGGGGUCUGAGGCAUCCACCACCCUUACUGGUCCUUCCAUGUGGCGAAUCCACUCUGUGUCUCGGAGACAAGAAAGGUUCAGCAAUGUAUAUGUCAACAGAGCCCUGCGAAAACCUUUUGAUGUCCCUCUUCUUUCUGAGGGGACCGCAGAAAGGCUCAGAGACUUUUGAAUGUGGUGCCAAGAACAACAUGUGAGGAGACAUGAGGAGGUGGCUCAGCAGAGAAAUCAAAGAAGUCUGAAAAAUAAUAUAUCAAAGUUGGUGUCUGGCAUAGCUGGGGCUAUUCAGUACCUCUAAAUAAACCGAACUGGGUGGAAGUCACCAACAUAUCACACAUGCAUGACUAAAUCAUGUGGA